GAUGAACGCUGGCGGCGUGCCUAAUACAUGCAAGUCGAGCGAACGGACGAGAAGCUUGCUUCUCUGAUGUUAGCGGCGGACGGGUGAGUAACACGUGGAUAACCUACCUAUAAGACUGGGAUAACUUCGGGAAACCGGAGCUAAUACCGGAUAAUAUUUUGAACCGCAUGGUUCAAAAGUGAAAGACGGUCUUGCUGUCACUUAUAGAUGGAUCCGCGCUGCAUUAGCUAGUUGGUAAGGUAACGGCUUACCAAGGCAACGAUGCAUAGCCGACCUGAGAGGGUGAUCGGCCACACUGGAACUGAGACACGGCCCAGAGUCCUACGGGAGGCAGCAGUGGGGAAUCUUCGGAAAUGGGGGAAAGCUGGAAGGAGAAACGCGGGGUGGGUGAAGAAGGGCUUCGGACGGGAAAACUUUGUUAUUGGGGAAAAACAAUGGUGUAAGUAACUGUGAACAUCUGAAGGGUACCUAACAAGAAAGCCACGGGUAAUUAGGG
rnacentral:rRNA from 1 species